GGCAGGAUAGCUCAGUGGUAGAGCAGUGGACUCAUAAGCCACGUGUCGCGGGUUCAAUUCCCGCUCCUGCUA
rnacentral:tRNA from 1 species